CGCGGGGUGGAGCAGCACGGUAGCUCGUCGGGCUCAUAAACCGAAGGGCGCAGGUUCAAAUCCUGUCCCCGCAACCA
rnacentral:tRNA from 1 species